rnacentral:rRNA from 1 species
CAGCCGCCGCGGGAAUACGGAGGGUGCAAGCGUUAAUCGGAAUUACUGGGCGUAAAGCGUGCGUAGGCGGUUCGUUAAGUCUGUUGUGAAAGCCCCGGGCUCAACCUGGGAAUGGCAAUGGAUACUGGCGAGCUAGAGUGUGUCAGAGGAUGGUGGAAUUCCCGGUGUAGCGGUGAAAUGCGUAGAGAUCGGGAGGAACAUCAGUGGCGAAGGCAAUCCCCUGGGCCUGCACUGACGCUCAUGCACGAAAGCGUGGGGAGCAAACAGGAUUAGAGACCCCCGUAGUCCCUGUCUCUUAUAU